GGUUGAAAUUUUGCAGGGUUGUUGAAAUCAAAUUUAGGGACUUUACUGACGGGACUCUGGGCUGGCUGCUCUGUUCACUCGUCAGCGCAAGUGGCGUGACCAUGUAAUUGGGGCACGGGGCCGGCGCGGCGCGCUGCGGGCUUGCAGAAUUUUGUUUGUUUGUUUGGCCGCGCGCUGGCGCAGCCACGGGCCGCAGUUACUGGGGCGCGCUGUCGUAACAAGCCGCGCGGUGUGGCCUGCACAUCGGGGUAGAGGGGGGGUAGUCUUCCCAGAUGUUCUAGUUAGUUGUUUAGUAAAUUUGACUUCAAUAACGAGCUUUUGUUAUGGUAGGCGCGGCAGGGCGCGCGAAUUUAAGCGCAAGUGAGUAAUGUAGUCGUCAAGCUCACUCAGGCGGAGGCUAUGCGUCUCACCUGUGGUCACGAGUUGUUAGUUCGUUCGUGAUGUAGGAAUUCAGGCUCACUCAGGCGGAGGCUAUGCGUCUCACCUGUGGUCACGAGUUGUUAGUUCGUUCGUGAUGUAGGAAUUCAGGCUCACUCAGGCGGAGGCUAUGCGUCUCACCUGUGGUCACGAGUUGUUAGUUCGUUCGUGAUGUAGGAAUUCAGGCUCACUCAGGCGGAGGCUAUGCGUCUCACCUGUGGUCACGAGUUGUUAGUUCGUUCGUGAUGUAGGAAUUCAAGCUUUCGGGCGGAAGCUAUGGCCGACGCCAGAGGCCACGAGUCGUUUAAUUUAAGUUAGGUCAUAAUGUAGUCAUCUUCAAGCUUUCGGGCGGAGGCUAUGGCCCUCGUCAGGGGUCACGCGUCAUAGUUUUUAAAAUGUAAUGUUCGUUCGGGAUUUCAAGGGCAGGAGAGGCCCCUACGUUAUUUUUUUAAAGUAAUCGAUCAAGAAAGGCUUUUCGGAAAAUGUGAGUAUGGACUUAUCUUUGUUUUAAUUUUAAGUAUUAAUUAUGAUUUGAGGUAUUCGGAAGGACUAGGGAAGUGUUUAGUGAAGUUCUCUCAUUCUCUCUCUUGUAAGGUCGUUCAAUCGUUAAGGAAGUAAAGAGAUUAUUGUUUUAAAUUGUAAUCCCGCUAUUUAAAUGUUCUUUAAAAUGAUGUUGAGUAUUUGACUUUAAGAAUAAAAUAAUUUUAAUUAAGUAUUAUGUUAUUUUGCAAAAUCUCCUUAGUUCAGCUCUCACCAGACAUCCUGUACGGGAUGACGAACCUAUGAUCCUAGGUACAGUAAAGUAUUUUAUGAAGUUAAGACUAGUUGAUGCCAAGCGAGUUGUUUCUAUGUAAAGAGCUACGAUUCUCGCCCCCCCCCCCCCUCUGAAGGUGGAUCGUGACAGAAAUGGUAGAGUUCGCCGGAUAGGUUCUAUUUCUGGAGAGAGAGAGAGGUAGAUUUUUAUGUUUAUUAUUAAGUUAGUUUCAGCUUCUGAUAGCAGGUUAUUAAGAGUUUACUUGAGGAGAGGAUUACGGAAUUUUAGUCUAUAGUGGAGGAAGUCUUUGAGAUUUUUUUUUUGACGUAACAGAUGUUUAUUUGAGGAUACUUGUAAGGAUAAAGUUUAUAGUGAUAAGUUGUUUUAAGUCGUUGAAUUUAUUGUAGAUUUAUAUCGGGGAUUAUUACGUGAGGAGAAUACGUUAUAAGUUAAAUACUUAAUAAAGAUAAUGCAAGUGGUUUAGUUUUAUUAAAGUUAAUUUAAGAUUGUAGGUUAAGAGAAUUAUAAUUUAAAAUAAAGUUUUUUGUCGUAAAUAGGAAUUAUUUUCAAGAGAAGUUGGUUUUGUUUUCGUGCGCGUAGGAGACGAGACGUACGAAUUAAAUCAGUCGAGGGAAGGAUAAACGUUAGAAAGGAAUUAAAGAGAAAACGAGAGUUUAUGUAAAAGAGAGUUAUAGAAUUUAUAGUGAUGUUUUGUUUUAAUUAGAAAAAUGUUGAGAGUUGUUUCAGAACGACACGUCAGUGGACGUGGCAGAGUGAACACGUGACGGGGAGGUGCUGAGACCUAGCGGAGAACGGAGGAACCGCAAGCGAGGGUUGGCGCACCUGAUGGAAUUCGGUGACGUCACGGGCUCAUACGGAGACGUGGACAGGCCGUGACCUUGUUUUGAUCAGCUGUACGGUAACUUAGCGAUAAGAAAAUAGACUAUUGGUUAAAUAAAUUUAAAUUUAAGUGUGUUUUAGGAGAAGAGGAACUUUCAGUAUAUUCCUUAAGAUGAGCUGAGCAGCAGUCCAGUUUACAAGAUGACAAGAGUUCGAGAGACAAGAUACAAGAUCACUGAAACAAGAGCCAAGACUGAAGAUUCAAGAGAAGAGAAAGCUGGCAGCCAUGGACUUACAAGUGGAGAUUAAUAAGGUCAUGUAAAGUUUUAUUUUUUUUUAUGGAAGACAGUAACUGGAGUUUUUUUUUGUUAUAAACAUUAUUUACAGAACUUUUUAGGUUAUAGUAAUGUGAUGGAACUAGUGAGUUGUGGUAGCUGUCAAAAAGAACUAAUACCUUAAGUUUAAUUUUUAAAGUUAAUUUUCUUAAUUUACAGAGGGAUUAGUAGUUUUUUUUAAACCUUAUUUAGGUUGGAAUUUAAAUACAAUAGCUUAUUAUAAAUGUGUACGAACAGUUCAAGUUCACAGUACUGAUAGGUAGGUCAGAUGAUCUUAUUGAUUUUGAUGAUUUGUUGUUUUGAGUUGAUUUUUAAGUGUUGUGAAUUAGACAAUGAAAUAGUUCUGAAAACUUAAAUUAUUUCAAGCUAAGAAAUAGUAAAGUUAAUUGUAACUCAAAGGACACCAGAAUUUAAUUUUUUUUUGAAUUAGUAAUGUUUGAAAAUUUUAUACUUUACAAGAAAGGUUAUAAACAAACAGAUCGGAUGGAACAAGGAUGCAGUAAAUCACAAUUUCAUUUAGAAUUAUUGAUUAGCUUUUGAGGUUAUGAAGUAAAAGUAAUUAUAAUUUAAAAGUUUGAAUAAAAAAAUGUUUUUUUUAUUUGUUUGAAAUAGAAAAUUUAAAAGUUAAUUAGUCAUGAUCUAGGUGGGUGAUGGGGUGGGAAUUGGCCACUCUUUUUCCCUAUAACCUCCCUAACAUGGCCUUCUAUUACAACUAACAGAAAUAAAGAAGAAGAAAAAUGAAGAAUUAUUAGUUAGAAUGUUUCUUUCAUGAAGAUACCUGAUGAACUUUUACUGUUUGGAAGAAUAGAAGCAAGGUUAGUCAGAUAUUUUUACUCAGAAGAAGAAGAAGAUAAAGCAGUUUUAUGACUCGACAAGCCAGAGAUUGGUGUUUCCCCUCUGCGCUCCUAUUGACUACGUUGUUUACUCUCAUGGGAUAGCUGGUUCGGCACCAUGGAGAGAGAUUGGUGGGCAUUGUGGUUGCCCCCAGAAGAAAAGAAGAGUAGAAGAGGUUAUGGGUGGGUCAUGUGAACUGACCUUCAACCCAGUUACUUCGUGGGGACUAUUUGCUGUAUAGAGAAGAUCAAGACUCAAGAGGUAGGGAAAAUCAUUGGAGGUCAUGUUUCCCUUCCUUAAGUUUUUCCUAUCAAAUUAUUUGCCUGAUUAGAUUAUGCUAAGGGUGGGAUAAUUUAUGUUAGCAGUUGAAUUAAUUAAUUUUAUUUUUUUGUGUGUUUGCAUCCUUGCCCAUCGAUUGCAGUUUAGUAGUUAGUUUUGUAUUUGUCAGGCGUGAUGGUAAUGCCUGUUGAUGAUGUUUCAGAAUUGUAAUCUGUUCGUGAUGAGGAUGGCACAACUCCGAAGCAGAUGUGGGGAGAAGUUGUGAGCUGCCCUGGAAGCCAGUCCAGUAGCUGUUGGAGUUGAGUGGUGUUUGCUGAUGGCCAGCCCAGGGAGCUACUCUUCUCGACAACACUGACUUCGAGGAGUUGCACCAACCUUCACGAGAUAAGAGUUUAAUUAAUUGAAACACUGUAAGGACACUUAAUUUUUUUUGAAGAACGAAAGAAGUAUGGUAAUAAACGGAAACCGAAAAAAAAAUAAUAAUAAUAAUUAUCAAGAAUUUGCACAUUGUUUAACGAAUACUGAGAAACUAAGAACAGUAAUUUAAUUUGUAAAGAGAGCUUCACUAACAGAACAAUUUUUUUAGAAUUGAGAACUCGAGCCUCUGAAGGUUCCUGUGAGAACAAACCAGAUAAAAGUUUUACAUUUAAUUUUAUGAAUACUUGUUGUUUUAAAAUAAAUCUUAUGCAGAAUCUAGAUGUAUGUUCAGACAGCAAGGAACUAAGAAAAUUAUUAUUUUUGUGAAAUGAGGAAUUUAUAGUUAUGGUUUAAUGGAAAAAGACAAUUUGUAAUUUUGAGGUAGCUCGAUGGGGCUCGAGCUCUGUGAGGGGAGGGUUAUGUCGCGGGUUGAAAUUUUGCAGGGUUGUUGAAAUCAAAUUUAGGGACUUUACUGACGGGACUCUGGGCUGGCUGCUCUGUUCACUCGUCAGCGCAAGUGGCGUGACCAUGUAAUUGGGGCACGGGGCCGGCGCGGCGCGCUGCGGGCUUGCAGAAUUUUGUUUGUUUGUUUGGCCGCGCGCUGGCGCAGCCACGGGCCGCAGUUACUGGGGCGCGCUGUCGUAACAAGCCGCGCGGUGUGGCCUGCACAUCGGGGUAGAGGGGGGGUAGUCUUCCCAGAUGUUCUAGUUAGUUGUUUAGUAAAUUUGACUUCAAUAACGAGCUUUUGUUAUGGUAGGCGCGGCAGGGCGCGCGAAUUUAAGCGCAAGUGAGUAAUGUAGUCGUCAAGCUCACUCAGGCGGAGGCUAUGCGUCUCACCUGUGGUCACGAGUUGUUAGUUCGUUCGUGAUGUAGGAAUUCAGGCUCACUCAGGCGGAGGCUAUGCGUCUCACCUGUGGUCACGAGUUGUUAGUUCGUUCGUGAUGUAGGAAUUCAGGCUCACUCAGGCGGAGGCUAUGCGUCUCACCUGUGGUCACGAGUUGUUAGUUCGUUCGUGAUGUAGGAAUUCAGGCUCACUCAGGCGGAGGCUAUGCGUCUCACCUGUGGUCACGAGUUGUUAGUUCGUUCGUGAUGUAGGAAUUCAAGCUUUCGGGCGGAAGCUAUGGCCGACGCCAGAGGCCACGAGUCGUUUAAUUUAAGUUAGGUCAUAAUGUAGUCAUCUUCAAGCUUUCGGGCGGAGGCUAUGGCCCUCGUCAGGGGUCACGCGUCAUAGUUUUUAAAAUGUAAUGUUCGUUCGGGAUUUCAAGGGCAGGAGAGGCCCCUACGUUAUUUUUUUAAAGUAAUCGAUCAAGAAAGGCUUUUCGGAAAAUGUGAGUAUGGACUUAUCUUUGUUUUAAUUUUAAGUAUUAAUUAUGAUUUGAGGUAUUCGGAAGGACUAGGGAAGUGUUUAGUGAAGUUCUCUCAUUCUCUCUCUUGUAAGGUCGUUCAAUCGUUAAGGAAGUAAAGAGAUUAUUGUUUUAAAUUGUAAUCCCGCUAUUUAAAUGUUCUUUAAAAUGAUGUUGAGUAUUUGACUUUAAGAAUAAAAUAAUUUUAAU